rnacentral:RNase_P_RNA from 1 species
GGAGUUGUCCGGACGAUUGCGCAAUUUAUUGUGAGGAAAGUCCGAGCAGCACAGAGCAGGAUAACGGCUAACGGCCGCCGAGGGUGACCUUAGGGAAAGUGCAACAGAAAUAAACCGCCGUAUCUUUACGGUAAGGAUGGAAAGGCGAGGUAAGAGCUCACCGAGGGAGUGGUAACAUUCCCUGCCAUGUAAACCCUAUUCGCUGCAACACCGACUGAAGGGCUGGUUGCUCGCCACAUAACUUCGAAGGGUGGCUUGAGCAGGUCGGUAACGGCCUGUCGAGAUAGAUAAUCGUCCACGACAGAACUCGGCUUACGGGCAACUCCGCAU